rnacentral:misc_RNA from 1 species
GAAAAGUUCACAAAGCUAGAAUGGACAAUUUUGAAUGAACCAAAUAAAGAAUAAAAAUUAAACAUUUGCAAAGUAUGAAAUUAAAUAAUCAAUCACAUUAAUUAGUAUAGACAAACCACCUUAUCCCUAUACAAUACGUAAUAACAACCACACAAUUUCAUUAUUGGAGAGGUUCUAUCCUUGGGGACUGAACCUCAUUAAGACCUACUAUCUAAGUAGCUAGGAACGGAGUAAACAGUUUUUCUCCCUGUACAUGUUCAUCAUAUAUGGAUCAUUCAUAAACUCUUCCCCUCAACCCCUUAUUGGCAAUUACUAGACCUUAAUAUAUAUGUAUGGACUUAAUUAGACUUUCUUGAGUAUAAAGAAUUGUUGCAAGAAACUCGAGAAGCCAUUCUCGUAUUAUCUUGCUGCCCAUGAGACUUGGAAUUGAAUGAAGAUUGUCUUCCUUGCCUCUGUUUUCUUCUUGGCUGUGAUGACCUUGGAAUGAAAACUCCUGUUCCUUUGCUUUGAAAAACUCCUGUUCCUUUGCUUUCUCUUCUUUGCUCAUACAUAAAUGGUGAUGGUGCUAUUGGAUAAUUCGCUCUUGAGAAAUCCUGCGAGAGUAGAAGGAUGAGAUAUAGAUAUCGUGCAUGAAAAGGUAAGAUAAUACUGUUAUUUUAUGAAAAAUGAGAGUAUGGAGAUGGAGAAAAACCUGGAAAGAAACUGAAGGAUAAUUUGCAACUGGGUCCUCAUCAUCAUCCAUGACUAGAAGAGAAAUUUGCUUGCUUAGGUCUGCGAAGAACAGAUCAUCUUCCAAUUCCAUAGCUACUUCCAUGGCAACUCCAAGUAUAGAGACCACUCUCUGUUUCUUUUGGUAGGCUACUUAGAAAGUGUUAAUUAAGCACCAAAAAUAACAAGGUGAUGCUCAGUUCUAAUCUCUGAGUCUCACCCUUUUUUUUCCCUAUUGUCAAGUGAAGUGGGGAUGAAUGGGUUAUAUAAAUAGGGAAAGGCAAAAGAGAAGGGUGAGAAAAAGCAAAAUGAGUUGUGCGUCUGUGCAUGUGGGGUGGUGGGGACUUCAGUGGCAGUCGGCCAAUCUGGCUAAAGCCCCACAAGAAUCAUGAAGUGUGUUAUGAUGACAUUAUCCAGUUGGGGAAAGGGAUGAGGAACGGCAAGCAACAGCCUACACCCAGAAAUCUAAUCCAAGAUUGACUCAAUCUAUAAAAAUAUACUUGGUUGUAAAUGGAUGGGAGGUGUCCCUCUCUCUCCCACACAUUCACAUACACAUACCUCUCUUAAAGCCAGCCUACAGGGA